rnacentral:rRNA from 1 species
CGCCUUUUGACAACCAAUUAAAGGUCCAGCCUGCCCAGUGAUAAACUUAAACGGCCGCGGUAUCUUAACCGUGCAAAGGUAGCACAAUCACUUGUUCCUUAAAUGGGGACUAGUAUGAACGGCACCACGAGGGUUACACUGUCUCCCCCUUUUAAUCAGUGAAACUAAUCUCCCCGUGAAGAAGCGGGGAUACCCCUAUAAGACGAGAAGACCCCAUGGAGCUUUAAACAAAGUAUCACUUGCAUAACUAAUACCACCUAAACCAAUGCAAAUUUGCCUACUAGUUUUUGGUUGGGGUGACCGCGGAGCAAAACAAAACCUCCACGAUGAAAGGAAAUUUAACUCCUAAUCAAAGAGCCACCACUCACAGAAUCAAAAUAUUGACCUAAAUUGACCCAAUAUAUUUGACCAACGAACCAAGUUACCCUGGGGAUAACAGCGCAAUCCAUUUCAAGAGCCCAUAUCAACAAAUGGGUUUACGACCUCGAUGUUGGAUCAGGGUAUCCCAGUGGUGCAGCUACUACUAAAGGUUC